rnacentral:rRNA from 1 species
CCCUGCCUUUUGUACACACCGCCCGUCGCACCUACCGAUUGAAUGGUCCGGUGAAAUCUUCGGACCGCGACAUUUGCUUGUUCACUCAAGACGAUGUCGCGGGAAGUUGAUUAAACCUUACCAUUUAG